AGCGAACGCUGGCGGCAGGCUUAACACAUGCAAGUCGAGCGGGCACCUUCGGGUUUCAGCGGCAGACGGGGGCGGAACACGUGGGAACGUACCCUUCGGUUCGGAAUAACGCUGGGAAACGAGCGCUAAUACCGGAUACGCCCUCAUGGGUAAAGGUGUACUGCCGAAGGAUCGGCCCGCGUCUGAUUAGCUAGUUGGUGGGGUAACGGCCUACCAAGGCGACGAUCAGUAGCUGGUCUGAGAGGAUGAUCAGCCACACUGGGACUGAGACACAGCCCAGACUCCUACGGGAGGCAGCAGUGGGGAAUAUUGGACAAUGGGCGCAAGCCUGAACCAGCCAUGACGGGUGAGUGAUGAAGGCCUUAGGGUUGUAAAGCUCUUUUGUCCGGGACGAUAAUGACGGUACCGGAAGAAUAAGCCCCGGCUAACUUCGUG
rnacentral:rRNA from 1 species